rnacentral:snRNA from 1 species
AUACUUACCUGGCAGGGGAGAUACCAUGAUCACGAAGGUGGUUUUCCCAGGGCGAGGCUUAUCCAUUGCACUCCGGAUGUGCUGACCCCUGCGAUUUCCCCAAACGUGGGAAACUCGACUGCAUAAAA